CACUGCAAAACAAAAAAUACAUGUUAAGAAACCCACAUAAUCCACCAGUACUCCCCCAAAUUUCCGAGUACCUAUUAGGAUCUUCCCACUAAGUCAAAAUACUCAAGAGGCUGGAAAUGGACCCGUGGACUUCUAAAGCUGGUUCCCUCCCAGCACACCAACGCCUCAAGCACAGCUGAGCAGUCUCAGAGUGCACUCAGAGCUCGCUCUCUAGCUUACACACUCCUGGUCACUGAACCAGAAUCUUGGGAUUUUUUUUCUUUCAGAAUUAUUUAUUUUAUGUGUAUGAGUGUUUUCCCGCAUGUAUGUACACACGGCAUGUGUGAACCUGAAGCCAGUGGAGAUCAGAAGAGGUCAACAUGUCCCCUGGAACGAGAGUUAUAGAUGAUUAUGGACAGACAUGUGGGUGCUGGGAAUCAAACCCAUGUCUUCUGCAAGAGCAAGAGGUGCUUUUAACUGCUGAAUCAUCUCUCCAGCCCCAACUGAACCAUAGUCUCUUAAUAACCCCAGGAUAACAAAGACUUGUGCGGUGCACAACACUGUCUCUCUGAUCCCACAGUCUAUCCCACAGUCUAAGCACCAUCCUCACCUGAGCUGAUGUAACUCCCAGGGAAUGGCCACUACAUGUAGGGAGAGAUAACAUAAAGUCUGUAGAGGAAGGGUCCGACUGAAGGACAGGCCUGAGCUAUGGGGGCUGGGACACAGAGGAUCUGCAAUAGUAGUCUAGGAAGACUCUGAUGUAAGGCAGGCCAGACAUGCCCUGACAAAUUCAAAUGCCCGUGCCCAGCAUGCCCCAUUUACAUCCAUUGGUUUCCUGAAGAAUCCGCACAAAAAUAGAAAACACACAGCUAGGGAAUUCGUUGACUCUGGCUUUUGUUCUUCUCCAUCAUUUCUCUUUACAGAAGGAAGGAUUUUAAUCAUUUCCAGAGUCACUGCAGAAGUGACAGAGAAAGGGAAACUAGAUGCUGGUUGCUGGGCUCUCAUCUAACCACUCCUCACCCCCUUCCCCUCCCCUCCCCUCCCCUCCCCCAACCAACAGCCCCAUGGGCUACUGCAAGAAAAGCGCAGAUCUGUCUGGAUGAGAGCAAGUUCCCUAUAGAAUUUCAACAGGUGUAACAGCCAUGGUCGCCAAGCAGGGAGACUCUUGAGGGCCCAUUUGAGUGAAUAAUUUUGUCUUCUACUUUAAACGUGGGCAGUAGCCGAGGGAGGUGACGUGGAAGAAGUCGGUUAGAUGUAAGGUUGAUAGUAAGGGAGUAAAUGAGCCAAUCACAAGUGAGUCCGAGUGCGGGUCCAGGCUACAACGGAAGAAAAAGCUUGACAGUGGAAAAAGGGAUCUGCUGCGGGUGGAAGAGGAACCCCAGCCCCUUCAAGUUCUGAAGGUGAUUUAGUGUAUGUUCUAGACCAAGAAGGUGAGCUGUAAGGAGGCCCUGGCCAGAGCAGGAAAGACAGGACACUAAACGCUGUGACAACGCCAACAACCAGGCAUCCUAGAUAACCAGAAGCAAACUGCCGGCAAGAACAUGAAGAACUGUGGUUAGCAGGGAACAGGCCAACCCUGGCUUCUUCUCUCCUUAUCACUGCAGUCGCCCAUUUCUUUUCCCAAAGCAGUGAGAGAGGCCUGAAGAGAGCAUGGUCUAUGUAGCUGUCCUGGGACUCGCCUCAGGGGUAUACCCACCUUUGUCAUUGGAUACUAGCCAAAGCCGUUGCCAUUGCAACCAAUGGCUGCUGCUUUUAAUUCAGACUAAAAUUGUGGUUUUUAAACCCCCACGAUUAUGGGGCUGGGGAGGAGGUCCAGCUCUUCCCCAGACCCUCUGGGUUGGGUUCCCAAGACCCUUGUCAGACAAUUCACAACCUCCUUGUAACUCCAGCUCCGGGAAGAAUCCGAUAGCCUCUUCUGGUCACCACAGUUACUGUACACAUGCUCACAAUCCCGCCUAUACACACAGCUUCAAACGCAUAAAAACCUCCCCAGAGCCAGAUUUCAAUAGGUGUGCCUGUAGAUAAGGCCACCGUCACUAGGUUAUAGGUGGACCAACAGCUAAAGGAGGGGAGACCAGGACAGGAAGAGUAAGAGGAUCUCUGAGGAUCUAGCUGCAUUCUUCUCUUCUUCAUCUAUCUGAUUAAUGGAACAUACAAGUGAAGCUCUCAAAUUCCAGCCAGCAAGAGAAUCUCAGGAAGAGGCUUUCUUUCUUUUUUUUUUUUUUUUUUUUUUUUUUUUUUGUCUUUGAGAUAGGGUUUCUCUAUGUAGCUAGCUGUAGACGCACAGGAACUGGCACUGUAGACCAGGCUGGCCUUGAACUCAGAGAUCCACCUGCCUCUUCCUCCCCAGUGCUGGGAUUAAAGAUAUGUGCCACCACUGCUCAGCUCAUGGAAGAGGCUUCUUUUUUUUUUUUUUUUUUUUUCCCUUUUUUUUUCCGGAGCUGGGGACCGAACCCAGGUAGGGCCUUGCGCUUGCUAGGCAGGCGCUCUACCACUGAGCUAAAUCCCCAACCGAAGAGGCUUCUUAAAACAGAUUGUACUACUCCUCCCUGCCUCCCAGGAACCCGUGAAGAACCCUAAAGUAUAUGCUGGGCCAAAUGGGAUGACUCUUCUGCGCCCCAAUACAAGGGCUCGAUUAAGAAGUGAUUGUCAACUUCUCAAGGCCCACCUGAAGAGCCACACAACAAACGCUUGGGCCUACUCAGCAUCUCUGAUUCAGUGCAUCUGAGCUGGGCGGGGAAAUGUGCAUCUUAGCAAUUCCAACCUCAGGGGCCCACAAGGAGCAAGCUAGGUUGAACAAAAAGCACCUGGUGUUAUUUGCUUGCCUUCCCUACUGGCUGGCUGAGCUCAAGCAAGUCAUCAUCAGGUCUGAUCUCCCGCUUUUCCAGCCAGCAACAGAGCUUGGCGGCGCCCAACGCCAAGGUCGCCUAGGGUGCACUUAAUAAACAAGCGAAGGCGCGCCGCCGCGAGCCCGCGCAGACCGGCCAGCGCCCGCACCUUCGCGGCCCUCCCCAGCCACGGAACGCCGCUGGCCCGCGCAGCCCCAAAGCGCCACCUUACGUUGGACGGAGUUGAUGAGAGCGCGGUACUGAUGGCGGAUCUGGCGGCACAGGCCCUGGUCGUACUCGGCCUCCAAGCAGGCCGGGUCCAUCAGCUCGUCGCCUGAAUCAGACGGCUCGGUGUCCUCCAAGCUCGGGCGCUCCGCUGCCUCCCUGCGCUCCGGCGCAGCGCCGCGGCGGGCCAGCGGGGACCGCGAGCGGGAACGGGAACGGGUGCGAUCCCGGUGCGGGUCGCGGCCCCGGCCCCGGCCCUCAGACCGGCGGCCGCUGCUGUCCCCAGACAUCGCGCCAAUUCGCCUUGCAACUUCGGAGCGGCGGAAGUUCGCGCCAGAAACUGAAACCCCCGGCUGGGCUCGAGCGCCGGCUCCAGGCGCAACGCAGCUCCCCGGCUGGCGCGCGAGAGCACAGCGACGCCUGUGGCCUGGAGGUCGGCGGCGGGGUUGGCUGUGUAUGAGCCUGGCACUGGCUUACUCCACACUGCAAGCAAGAGACGUUGGACUUUGGAUCUCUGGUCCUAAUGCCCACCCCCACUUAGCCAUACAUCUUCCCAUUGUCUCGUUGGAUCCUCUGGCCUUGGGGAGGACACGGCAAACAAAACAGAGUUCCUUGGCUGUAUCAUAAUAAACAGUUAAGCAUCCUAGAUAUCUGCACCA